CCGUUCUUAGAGUCAGCCUGCCCAGUGAUAACAUUCAACGGCCGCAGUACCCUAACUGCGCGAAGGUAGCAUAAUCACUUGUUCUUUAAAUAGGGACUAGUAUCAACGGCAUCACGAGGGUUGCACUGUCUCCUUUGUCUAAUCAGUGAAACUGAUCUCCCCGUGAAAAAGCGGGGAUACACCUAUAAGACGAGAAGACCCCAUGGAGCUUUAAACCUACAGCAACUCAACCACAUAAUCCCACACAACCUUAGAGACAUGCCUGUUGGCUUUAGGUUGGGGUGACCGCGGAGUAAAAAUCAUCCUCCACAACACAAAGAUCUAAAUCUUUAUUCAAGAGCCACUACUCUAAAAAUUAGCAUACUAAUGUACACUGACCCGAUAAUCGACUAAUGAACCAAGUUACCCUGGGGAUAACAGCGCAAUCUAUUUCAAGAGUUCAUAUCGACAAAUAGGCUUACGACCUCGAUGUUGGAUCAGGGUACCCUAGUGGUGUAGCAGCUACUGAAGGUUCGUUUGUUCAACGAUUAAAACCCUACGUGAUCUGUUU
rnacentral:rRNA from 1 species